rnacentral:lncRNA from 1 species
GUGAGAUACCUCAGGUAAAGUUUAUGAAUACACAGUGUAGCUGGCUGUUUACCGUGUACUGAUAAGGGUUUAAAUACGACACGUGUUGAUGAAAGUCUGUGUUUUCACAAGUUUGCGGUUAAUUGGAACAGGAGUGAUUGGAAUAUAAUUAGUUAAGGAUUAUAAUUAGUCUAUGCAAAGAAAUGGGAUAACAGUUGGUGGCGGCAUGCAUGGGCUCUUUCAACACACUUCUCCCUUGAAGAAGACUGGGCAGUUAUUGAAUGGGCACAGGUGAAAGCCACCCUUACCACAGAUGAACACUUGGAGCACAAUGGAGUGGAUUAUUGGUAAUCUGUCCGAGUCUCACCCAAACCUGUGCAAAGUCGCUACAGUGGGACUGCUUCUACCAACCUCCACAGCUGAUUGUGAGAGAGGUUUCAGCAGUUGAAUGUGUAAAGACCACCCACCAUUCACCAGUGAGCGUGAAAGUGCUUAAUGCCUUACUCAUGGUGUCCACGCAGGGACAAAAAUUGAAUGACUUUAAUUUCAGUGGUGCAGUGAAGGAAUGGCUCAGUGCCAAAGACAGACACUUAUAUAAAAAAAAAUGCCUAUGUGUUGUUAGUGUUAGUACAUAAGAAGCGGAAGGACAUAAUUAUGUGUUGUUUCGAAAAUACUUAUAAAAGAAGUGGACAUCUGUGUAGUGUAUAUGAUAUAUUGAUGGUUAUAUGAUUAUGUGAAAAUGUAGAAGUAAUGAAAUA